UAGAGACUCAGAGCUGCAUAUCAAUAAGCGGAGGAAAAGAAACUAACAAGGAUUCCCUUAGUAACGGCGAGUGAAGCGGGAAGAGCUCAAAUUUGAAAUCUUCAAGGGUUUCUACCUUGACGAAUUGUAGUUUAUAGAAGUGUUUUCUGUUAGAGAGGUGGUAAAAGUUCUUUGGAAUAGGACAUCAUAGAGGGUGAGAAUCCCGUAUUUGAUCACUUUCUACUAACGUUGUGAUACACUUUCAAAGAGUCGGAUUGUUUGGGAAUGCAGUCCAAAAUGGGUGGUAAAUUUCAUCUAAAGCUAAAUAUUGGCGAGAGACCGAUAGCGAACAAGUACCGUGAGGGAAAGAUGAAAAGAACUUUGAAAAGAGAGUUAAACAGUACGUGAAAUUGUCAAAAGGGAAGCGUUUGACACCAGUGUUGUUUUUUCCGAAAAUCAAUUACGAAUGUUUUAUUUUUGAGGAGUUAUGACUUCAUCGGCUUGCUCCUUUCUUUAUGAAACUUUCUUAAUGCACUUUUCGGUUAACAAGUCAACAUCAAUUUCUUUUGUUGUAAAAGGGUAUGAGGAAGGUGGCUUUCUUUUCGGAGAAAGUGUUUAUAGCCUUGUGCCUCUGCAAUCGGAGAGAUUGAGGUCUGCAGCGUAGAUCCUUCGGGGUUAGAUACGUUUGUGCUAAGUUAUAGCUUUUCAUAGACAACUUGUUGACUAUGUUUAGUCAUGUAGCUUACUCGCUUAUGCUAUUUUACCUACGCUUAGGAUGUUGAUAUGCAUGACUGAUAU
rnacentral:rRNA from 1 species